UUAAAUCAACUUUUCUCCAUUAUUAACCGUUUUGGAAUUUUAGGUGUUAUUUCUAAUAAACCUACAGUUUUAUUCAGUCUGUAUUUAGGCAUAUUCGACGUAAAUAAAUUCUAAUAAUAGAUGUACAAGUUGCUGUCGUUGAAGAAGCAAGUGUAAACACCAUAAAAAAGCAGCUUAUUUCUUGAGAUGGACAAAAAACUUAUCACGAUGUUAGUCAUUCAGUUUACGAAAACAACUCGAGCGGUGCAGUGUUGUGUGCUUUCGAACUUUUUAGUGAAGUUAAAUAAUUAUGAAGAAACGAAUAAUUAUCUAUUACUAGAUUUCGAGCAUCCAAGGGGAGAAACAGGAACCUAAAUGGGAUCUCGUCCAUCUGGUCACCUACCCAGGCUGAAUUAAAUAAAGAUCGAGUUUGCCACUUGUUAGCGCCACUCACAGCAAGUAUGCUAUACGGUAGAUUUUGAUGUCGAAGCCGUAAACAACAACGGCAAAUGCCGCGAUAAUAAAAAAGACGACGUAGCGAAAGCGGAAAGUACGACCGGCAAGACGGGUCUGAAACGUCGAAGAAGGCCAGUCCGCUUGUUGGUGCGGCAAGUGUUGGUUAUAGCAAUCAUGCUGGCCAUAGUUUGCGUACUUUCAGCGUUGGUUUGGUUCUUUCUUGGAUGGUUAGCUCUUGUUCAACUGCUUCUUGUUGUAUUUGUGGCAUGGUUUAUCGUUGGAAAAAAGUAUCGAUGGGUUUAUAUAGCGCUGAUGACCUUACCUCGCGAUGUCAAGUAAGUCAAUUGACCCUGCAUCUUUUUAAAUAGUAGCUUAUAAAAAAUUUUAAAAACAUGACCAUUUCGUACAAAAGGUCAUGUUUUUAUAAAACGGAAAAAAACUUUUUCAACUUUUAAACGUGUCUGACAGGUAAGUGUGUAUACAGGGUGGUGCAAUACGACCCACAGGUAAAAAACUUCACCGCAUACAAAUGUAGAAUAAAAUCCAAUAACUUUAUAAAAUAUCAUUUCUGGAAAUAUUUUCAUUCUACUUCUACAUGCUACUCAAAAUUAUAGUCUUUUUGUUCUUAAGGAUUUCAGUAUAGCUACCUUGAAAGAGGAACAUGCGUUUUUUUCCUAUUCUUUUUUAAGUUUAUAACUUGCUGUAAGCCUAAGUGUAUAUACA
rnacentral:lncRNA from 1 species